GGGGACAACCCGCCGAAAGGCGGGCUAAACCCGCGUACAUGCCACCGGGGCAUCCCGGAGGCAGGAAAGGCUUCGGCCGGACAGGGAUGGGCAUGCGGCGCAUUAGGCAGUAGGCGGGGUAACGGCCCACCUAACCGACGAUGCGUAGGGGUUCUGAGAGGAAGGUCCCCCACACUGGUACUGAGACACGGACCAGACUCCUACGGGAGGCAGCAGUGAGGAAUAUUGGUCAAUGGUCGGGAGACUGAACCAGCCAAGCCGCGUGAGGGAGGAAGGUACAGAGUAUCGUAAACCUCUUUUGUCAGGGAACAAAGACUGGGACGCGUCCCCGGAUGAGUGUACCUGAAGAAAAAGCAUCGGCUAACUCCGUGCCAGCAGCCGCGGUAAUACGGAGGAUGCGAGCGUUAUCCGGAUUUAUUGGGUUUAAAGGGUGCGCAGGCGGUCUGUUAAGUCAGCGGUCAAAGCCCGGGGCUCAACCCCGGCCCGCCGUUGAAACUGGCAGUCUCGAGUUGGAGAGAAGUAUGCGGAAUGCGCGGUGUAGCGGUGAAAUGCAUAGAUAUCGCGCAGAACUCCGAUUGCGAAGGCAGCAUGCCGGCUCCACACUGACGCUGAGGCACGAAAGCGUGGGUAUCGAACAGGAUUAGAUACCCUGGUAGUCCACGCAGUAAACGAUGA
rnacentral:rRNA from 1 species